UACGAAGGGGGCUAGCGUUGUUCGGAAUUACUGGGCGUAAAGGGAGCGUAGGCGGCUGUGCAAGUCAGAUGUGAAAGCCCUGGGCUCAACCCAGGAUGUGCAUUUGAUACUGCAUGGCUAGAGUGUCGGAGAGGAUGGUGGAAUUCCCAGUGUAGAGGUGAAAUUCGUAGAUAUUGGGAAGAACACCGGUGGCGAAGGCGACCAUCUGGACGACAACUGACGCUGAGGCGCGAAAGCGUGGGGAGCAAACAGG
rnacentral:rRNA from 1 species